rnacentral:rRNA from 1 species
AAGUCGAACGGCAGCGCGGGGCAACCUGGCGGCGAGUGGCGAACGGGUGAGUAAUAUAUCGGAACGUACCCUGGAGUGGGGGAUAACGUAGCGAAAGUUACGCUAAUACCGCAUACGAUCUAAGGAUGAAAGUGGGGGAUCGCAAGACCUCAUGCUCCUGGAGCGGCCGAUAUCUGAUUAGCUAGUUGGUGGGGUAAAGGCCUACCAAGGCAUCGAUCAGUAGCUGGUCUGAGAGGACGACCAGCCACACUGGAACUGAGACACGGUCCAGACUCCUACGGGAGGCAGCAGUGGGGAAUUUUGGACAAUGGGCGCAAGCCUGAUCCAGCAAUGCCGCGUGAGUGAAGAAGGCCUUCGGGUUGUAAAGCUCUUUUGUCAGGGAAGAAACGGUGAGGGCUAAUAUCCUUUGCUAAUGACGGUACCUGAAGAAUAAGCACCGGCUAACUACGUGCCAGCAGCCGCGGUAAUACGUAGGGUGCAAGCGUUAAUCGGAAUUACUGGGCGUAAAGCGUGCGCAGGCGGUUUUGUAAGUCUGUCGUGAAAUCCCCGGGCUCAACCUGGGAAUUGCGAUGGAGACUGCAAGGCUAGAAUCUGGCAGAGGGGGGUAGAAUUCCACGUGUAGCAGUGAAAUGCGUAGAGAUGUGGAGGAACACCGAUGGCGAAGGCAGCCCCCUGGGUCAAGAUUGACGCUCAUGCACGAAAGCGUGGGGAGCAAACAGGAUUAGAUACCCUGGUAGUCCACGCCCUAAACGAUGUCUACUAGUUGUCGGGUUUUAAUUAACUUGGUAACGCAGCUUACGCGUGAAGUAAACCGCCU